CAGUCGCCACGGUAACACGUAGGGUGCGAGCGUUAAUCGGAAUUACUGGGCGUAAAGCGUGCGCAGGCGGUUGUGUAAGACAGGUGUGAAAUCCCCGGGCUUAACCUGGGAACUGCGCUUGUGACUGCACAGCUAGAGUAUGGCAGAGGGGGGUGGAAUUCCACGUGUAGCAGUGAAAUGCGUAGAGAUGUGAAGGAACACCGAUGGCGAAGGCAGCCCCCUGGGCCAAUACUGACGCUCAUGCACGAAAGCGUGGGGAGCAAACAGGAUUAGAUACCCCGGUAGUCCCUGUCUCUUAUAC
rnacentral:rRNA from 1 species